rnacentral:rRNA from 1 species
UACGGGGGGAGCAAGCGUUGUUCGGCUUUACUGGGCGUAAAGGGCGCGUAGGCGGUCAGCACAAGUCAGUUGUGAAAUCUCCGGGCUUAACUCGGAAAGGUCAACUGAUACUGUGCGACUAGAGUGCAGAAGGGGCAACUGGAAUUCUCGGUGUAGCGGUGAAAUGCGUAGAUAUCUGGAGGAACACCGGUGGCGAAGGCGGCAUCCUGGACCAACACUGACACUGAGGAGCGAAAGCCAGGGGAGCAAACGGG